GGGUGAGUAACACGUGGAUAACCUACCUAUAAGACUGGGAUAACUUCGGGAAACCAGAGCUAAUACCGGAUAAUAUAUUGAACCGCAUGGUUCAAUAGUGAAAGACGGUUUUGCUGUCACUUAUAGAUGGAUCCGCGCCGCAUUAGCUAGUUGGUAAGGUAACGGCUUACCAAGGCAACGAUGCGUAGCCGACCUGAGAGGGUGAUCGGCCACACUGGAACUGAGACACGGUCCAG
rnacentral:rRNA from 1 species